AUGAACGCUGGCGGCGUGCCUAAUCCCUGCCAGUCGAGCGAACAGACGAGGAGCUUGCUCCUCUGACGUUAGCGGCGGCCGGGUGAGUAACACGUGGAUAACCUACCUAUAAGACUGGGAUAACUUCGGGAAACCGGAGCUAAUACCGGAUAAUAUAUUGAACCGCAUGGUUCAAUAGUGAAAGACGGUUUUGCUGUCACUUAUAGAUGGAUCCGCGCCGCAUUAGCUAGUUGGUAGGGUAACGGCUUACCAAGGCAACGAUGCGUAGCCGACCUGAGAGGGUGAUCGGCCACACUGGAACUGAGACACGGUCCAGACGCCUACGGGAGGCAGCAGUAGGGAAUCUUCCGCAAUGGGCGAAAGCCUGACGGAGCAACGCCGCGUGAGUGAUGAAGGUCUUCGGAUCGUAAAACUCUGUUAUUAGGGAAGAACAAAUGUGUAAGUAACUAUGCACGUCUUGACGGUACCUAAUCAGAAAGCCACGGCUAACUACGUG
rnacentral:rRNA from 1 species